CUGUGUUUCAGCUUGUGUUCACUGCAUCUUGUUCUGCCAGUAGGCACCACUGACAAUAGCCUGGCCCCACUGUUUGAGCUUAGAAACAGGAGAAUAAAGUUCUGCAACAGCAUAAAUGGAGACCUCCCAUAGUUGCUGAUGACUGAUAAGUGUCAGCUGUAAUUACAGCCAAAAACAUCAGAAAAGUCUAACAUAACAACCUACUGAAAGGUAAUGACUUCAUCAAUGAUGCUGAUCCAUGAAUAUUGCAGGUCACUGUCCCUCCUGAGCUGCUAAUGAGUUGUCCUCCUGUGACACCCAUCUGAAUCCCUCCAGUGCCCACCAUGCUAUGAGAGGAGACCACUGUUGUCACCUGCGCAGAACUUCCUUGAGUAUCAAAAUAAUUUCCCCCAGUGUUUUGGCUGUACAUCUGGGUUUCUGUGUAAGGGGUGAAUUUAAAAUUGGACAUGAAUUUGUACUACGAUGAAAAAGUGCAUUGAAAAAAUAAAACCAAAUUAGAACUAUGA